rnacentral:lncRNA from 1 species
CAGCACACAUUUUAAGUGUCUUUAAAACAUUAUAAGAAAAUGUAAAAAAAAUAAAAAAUCCACUAUUUUGCAAGCAAUCACAAUGCUAGCUGCAUAUUUUUAACUGCAGCAAAUUAUUGACUUGCUUGAGCUUCACAAAACAUCGGUGAAACUUGUUACACUUAAGAAGAAUUGCAUGGGCUACUUUAAUAUUCAAACACUGCUGAAUAAACAAGCAUUGUUCUGUAUUAAGUUUUCAACAAAGUGUUGCUUCUGCUGGUUGAACCCUGUGUUUGCUGCAAGGAUUACUUUCUUAUGGCAUUUCUAAAAGCUAAUGUGCAAGCGCAACAUAUAAUUUGAGGUCCUUUCAGUUAAUUGCCCACACAGCUGAAUUCUGCAAAACUCCUCAAUUACAAAAAAAAAAAAAAAAAAAUGCAAAAAUCUGAGCUGUUUGUUUAUUUUCCCUUCAGUGGGAGCGAGGCUUUCUGCUAAUCAGGGAGUGCAGCUGAAAUGAAUUCAUCAUCACAAUGGUAAAACAAGUAGUGCAUUCAUUUAGCAGCCCGUUAAGCUGUGCAUACAUUUCAGCCCCUUUACAAUGUGGUUGCUAUGGCAUUUGGGGGUGGCGGUGAAGAUGACGGGAGAUUCUCCACAUAAAUGCCAGACCGUGCUGUAAUAUAUGUUGGAGUGACCUGCUAUUAAUUCGGUGGCUGCUCUUUUAUCAUGAAAAACAGAUCAGCUCCGCUUUCCCUCCAAGAAAUGGAUGCGAAAUGUGAACCAGCAGCGGCUACAGGAGCAUAAAUCACGUGGAAAAACUUUAAAGGUCCUGACAAAGGUCACAGCCGGCGAUGUGGCCUUUUCCAUCAGCCCCCGACCCCAUAAAGAGCCAGCACGGGGAAUACUGGGGCCAUUCACUGAGAGCUCCCGGGCUCCGUACACAGGGGCAGCCAGAGUUUCUCUUGUUCUGUAGAGCAAUUCCAGCUCAUCUGGCAUUUUUCAUUCAAGAGCAUUAACCUACAGUCUAAUAUAAUUAUGCACUAUAUGCUCUUAAAUUUUUAUUUAGUUACACGCACUCGAGAGCAAAUGGUCUCUUUUUCCCCUGGUAUAUCCACAUAACUGCUCUCAGCGUUAAUGGGAUUUACAGGGGUUUAUCAAGUGAUAAUCAAAGCCUAUUCUUCAGCCUCUGCUAACAUUUACUGUGUAAUUUCCUGCUCUCCCAACACACGGGGAGUAUAACUACGCACUAUUAAGUGUAACACAACAAGGGGGGGAAAAAAACAUUUAAGGUCAACGCUCAGCUUUACCCAUGCUGUCAUUGGAAACCUGUUAGACACAGAGCUCUUCUUGAAGCAUUGUUAUAAAUCACACAAAAUGAAGCAAAUCAAAGGGAAAACUGUUUUACAAGCCAGGCUCCAUGUGGAUCUACAAAGGAUGGUCCUUUGUGGCACCUAGGUGAGUCUUUGUAGGAGCUCCACAAGAGGCAUGUUUGAGGUUAGAGGGACCAUGCAGCACCUUGCUCUUGCUCAGAGAGGAAUAUAUGAAGAAGACAACUCCAGCUGGGCUGAUUCAACUUAUUCUUAGGUGCCUGCAGCCUCCUGCCAGGCAGGCGUGAAGCAACAAGUCCUUCAAGUCCUGCUGCCUCUGCUCUUCAGUGCCCAGAGGAACCGCUGCCAGCGGGCGUGCACCAGGCUCCUCACAACCCUGCUCCAUUCCUUUAGGGCAGAAAAAGCCACGUUCUGACCCGUGUCAUUGAGCCGCAGCCAGUUCUGCAGGGUUUUUAAAAUAAAACAUAUUUGAAUCUCUUCUUAAUGCCA